UCUAUCUCCAUAUGAGCAUGGGCAAAUAUCUCCUCAAGCUCCACUUGCCUUUUGAAAGCAAGUUCCUUCAUUCUGCUUGACUUUAGCUGAUCAAGACUUUCUACUUCUACCUGCGCCUUCAAGACAAAAGAAAAUAAAUACAAAUCCAGAGCAAGAGCACCAGGAACAGUCAUUUCAUCAACUGAUGCAGAGAUGUUGCAAGUAACAUGGUUGAAUAAUCUCCUUUCAUCUUCAGGUGUGUCCAUCAAAUUCCAAAGAUCAAUUAGCUUAGCUUCCAGCUCUUGAAGCUGUCAAAAGAGGAACAAGUUGAUUUAAUAUAUUAACUCCUUGGAAUAGAGGUAUAAAGUUGAAUAUAGUAUAAAGUUCAUAUUUAUGCCCGUAAUAAAGACAAAUCCAU